GUCUCUGUGGCGCAAUCGGUUAGCGCGUUCGGCUGUUAACCGAAAGGUUGGUGGUUCAAGCUCAUCCAGGGACG